rnacentral:rRNA from 1 species
GAUGAACGCUGGCGGCGUGCUUAACACAUGCAAGUCGAACGAAGCAUUUGCGACAGAUUUCUUCGGAUUGAAGUUGCUUAUGACUGAGUGGCAGACGGGUGAGUAACGCGUGGGUAACCUGCCUCACACAGGGGGAUAGCAGUUGGAAACGGCUGAUAAUACCGCAUAAGCGCACAGUACCGCAUGGUACAGUGUGAAAAACUCCGGUGGUGUGAGAUGGACCCGCGUCUGAUUAGCUUGUUGGCAGGGUAACGGCCUACCAAGGCAACGAUCAGUAGCCGACCUGAGAGGGUGACCGGCCACAUUGGGACUGAGACACGGCCCAGACUCCUACGGGAGGCAGCAGUGGGGAAUAUUGCACAAUGGAGGAAACUCUGAUGCAGCGACGCCGCGUGAGUGAAGAAGUAAUUCGUUAUGUAAAGCUCUAUCAGCAGGGAAGAUAGUGACGG